AACGAACGCUGGCGGCAUGCCUAACACAUGCAAGUCGAACGAGACCUUCGGGUCUAGUGGCGCACGGGUUCGUAACGCGUGGGAACCUGCCCUUAGGUUCGGAAUAACUCCCCGAAAGGGGUGCUAAUACCGGAUAAUGUCUUCGGACCAAAGAUUUAUCGCCUUUGGAUGGGCCCGCGUUGGAUUAGCUAUUUGGUAGGGUAAAAGCCUACCAAGGCGACGAUCCAUAGCUGGUCUGAGAGGAUGAUCAGCCACACUGGGACUGAGACACGGCCCAGACUCCUACGGGAGGCAGCAGUGGGGAAUAUUGGACAAUGGGCGAAAGCCUGAUCCAGCAAUGCCGCGUGAGUGAUGAAGGACUUAGGGUUGUAAAGCUCUUUUACCCGGGAUGUUAAUGACAGUACCGGGAGAAUAAGCUCCGGCUAACUCCGU
rnacentral:rRNA from 1 species